AAAAACAGUAAUUUGGCCAGCCUAUCCUUGCUUGGGUUCGUGGGUUGCUUUAUAAGACCAAAUCAGCUUUUUUCUUCAGUGAUGAAUUUUUGUAACAGACCCAAAACUGAAGUGAAAUGUAGAAACAUGUCUAACAGAUCAAAUCAGAGAGGAAAGGCAGACCAAUAUUAUCAACCUUUUCCUGUCUCAUCCUCAGCUUUAUUCCCAUGGGGAGGAUGAAAAAAGAAAAGAAUGGAAUUAAGGGACACAGAUUGAUGUGAGAAAAAAAAAGCUGGAGGCACAAAGUGACCAAGAUCCAGUUGCACAAGUUGAAGUACGCUGUUUUUCGGCACAAAUGAACUUUUUUCCAUCUUUUGUGCACCUGGGAUGAGAUGACCAAAGAAGAUGUAGGCAGUGCUUGAAUAAGGAUGCCUUUGAUGCCUGUUUAAGAUAAGAUUGCAGUUGUCUGACGGCAGGACAAUGAGAGGUUGGGCACUUUAUGCAAUUCACACAGAAAAUGUAUUCUAUUUUAUGGCGGAAUGCACUAUCCUUUGGGAGGUGCAGUUUUUGCAUUUAGGAUCUUUUCAGCUAACAAGGGUACUACUAUUUGAGUUUCUGUUAAGAGAAAACUUAUAAGAUAUGCUACAUGCUUGCUAGUAUAGGUACGAACUGGAUAAGGAAUUUAAUUUUUUUAAAAAUUAUAUUU